CCAAUUGUCGGCUCAAUACCCGCAACUACAUCUACACCGUCGAAUUCCGUAUCGGUUAGAUAGAGUAACUCACGUCGAGGCGCCACGUUGCCUUGCCGGACAUCAUGGUCUAGCCCGGGUCGCCGCGACGAUGAUGCGGCGUCAGGGGUCGUGACGACAUGGAUAAUGCUGACUCGGGCAGGGUUCCCGUCAUUGCGUGUGUGAAGGACUCUUGGCGGUUCACGUUCGCCAACGCUCGCACGGUCGCGCC
rnacentral:rRNA from 1 species